rnacentral:tRNA from 1 species
GCCUGGCUAGCUCAGUCGGUAGAGCAUGAGACUCUUAAUCUCAAGGUCGGGGGUUCGAGCCCCCCGUUGGGCG